AUGAACGCUGGCGGGCGUGGUGUUAAGACAUGCAAGUCGAACGGGCUUUUUGGUGUAGCAAAUACAUUGAAAAGUCAGUGGCGAACGGGUGCGUAACACGUGAAAAUCUACCAUUUAGUGGGAAUAGCUCGCCGAAAGGCGAAUUAAUACCGCAUGUGGUUGUCUUCCGCAUGGGAGGCAUACUAAAGCCGGGGACUGCAAGGCCUGGCGCUAAAUGAGGAGUUCGCGGCCUAUCAGCUAUUUGGCGAGGGUAACGGCUCACCAAGGCUAAGACGGGUAGCUGAUCUGAGAGGAUGAUCAGCCACACUGGAACUGAGACACGGUCCAGACGCCUACGGGUGGCAGCAUGUUUCGAAUCAUUCACAAUGGGCGAAAGCCUGAUGGUGCGACGCCGCGUGAGGGUGAAGGUCUUCGGAUUGUAAACCUCUGUCACCUGGGGAGAAAACGCUUUGAGUUAACAGUUCAAGCCUGAUUUAACCCUGAGAGGAAGCAGUGGCUAACUCUGUUGCCAGUCAGCCGCUGUAAUACAGAGACUGCAAGCGUUAUUCGGAUUCACUGGGCGUAAAGGGUGCGCAGGCGGCCGUGUGUGUUAGAUGUGAAAUCCCGGGGCUCAACCCCUGAACUGCGUCUAAAACUACAUGGCUAGAGUACUGGAGAGGUAGCGGAAUUCACCGGUGUAGCUAGUGAUAAUGCGUAGAUAUCGUGAGGAACACCAGAGGUCGAAGGUCGGCUACCUGGACAAUUACUGACGCUCAGGCCACGAAAGCGUGGGGAGCAAAAGGGAUUAGAUACCCUGUAGUCCACGCGCCUAAACGGUGCAACACUAGGUCUUGGCGGAUUCGACCCCACCAGGGCCCCAAGCUAACGCGUUUAAGUGUGCCGCCUGAGAGCUACGGCCGCAAUGCUAAAACUCAAAUGAAUGACGGGGCCCGCAACAAGCGGUGGAGCAUGUGGCUCAAUUCGAUGCAACGCGAAGAACCUUACCAGCCUUUGACAUGCACCAGACAGACGGCUGAAAGGCGUUCUCCCUUCGGGGCUGGUGCACAGGUGCUGCAUGGCUGUCGUCAGCUCGUGUCGUGAGAUGGUUGCGUUAAGUCGCGCAACGAGCGCAACCCCUGUCACUUAUUUGCCAUCAGGUAAAGCUGGGCACUCUAGGGAGACAAACCCUCUCUGAGGGUGGGAAGGUGGGGAUGACGUCAAGUCAGGAUGGCCCCUUACGGCUGGGCUGCAACACGUGCUACAAUGCCCCGGUACAAAACGUUACGGAUCACCGCGAGGGGAGUUAAUCGCUAAAAACCGGUCUCAGUUAGCGAUUGAAGUCUGCACUCGACUUCAUGAAGAUGGACAUCGCGUAGUAAUCGCAUCAGAUCAGCAUGCUGCGGUGAAUACGUUCCCGGGUCUUGUACACACGACCGUACCAUCACGAAAGUAGGUUGUACUAGAAGUAGCUGGGCCAACUCGCAAGAGAGGCAGGUUACCACGGUAUGAUCUAUGAUUGGGGUG
rnacentral:rRNA from 1 species